UAAUACGGAGGAUGCAAGCGUUAUCCGGAUUUAUUGGGUUUAAAGGGUGCGUAGGCGGGACUGUAAGUCAGGGGUGAAAUACUGCAGCUUAACUGUAGCAUUGCCUUUGAAACUGCCGUUCUUGAGUACAGUUGAGGUAGGCGGAAUGUGGUGUGUAGCGGUGAAAUGCAUAGAUAUACCACAGAACGCCGAUUGCGAAGGCAGCUUACUAAGCUGUUACUGACGCUGAGGCACGAAAGCGUGGGGAUCAAACAGG
rnacentral:rRNA from 1 species